rnacentral:snRNA from 1 species
UUGCUUUGGCAGCAGGAAUACUAAAAUUGGAAAGAUACAGAGAUUAGCAUGACCCCUGCACAAGGAUGACAUGCAAAUUCGGGAAGCAUUCCAUAUGUUU